AGAAGAACAGCUGGGUCAAAUGGUGGUUUUUCAUUCCCAGUUUUCAAGGAAUCUCCAUACUACUUUCCAUAUUGGCUGUACCAAUUUGUAGUCCCACCAGCAGU
rnacentral:pre_miRNA from 1 species